rnacentral:rRNA from 1 species
UUAGAUACCCUAUUAAUUUAACAAAAAUUUAGUAGUAAGUGAUUAUCAUGAAACUAAAAUUAAUUGGCGGCAAUUUAAAUUUUUUAGAGGAGUUUAUUCUGUAAAGGAUUAAACACCUAAAUCUUACUUUUAUUUGUUAACAGUUUGUAUAUCUCUAUUUAAAAAUAUAAUAAUAUAUUUUUAUUACUUAACUAAUUAUAAUAAUAUUUUAGGUAUAGGUGCAGCUAAUGUAAAAGGUUGAAAUAAACUAUUUAAAUUUAAAUUUAACAAUAUUUUUGUUGUAUAAUAAUUUUAUAGAAAAAUUUAAAAGUAAAAUUUGUAUAAUUAGCUUAUUUGAAUAUAUUUUGGUUGUGUACAUAUUGCCCGUCACUCUCUUUUAGAGAUAAGUC